rnacentral:rRNA from 1 species
CAAUCAUUGGGUUAGAUCUGCUCUCUUCGCAAGAAGAGGGUUUCCAUACACACCGUGAACUGUGGCUUCGGCCAUCACAAACUGUUAGUAAUGAAUGUAAUAUCAUAACAAAAACAAAACUUUUAACAACGAAUCUCUUGGCUCUCGCAUCGAUGAAGAACGCAGCGAAAUGCGAUAAGUAAUGUGAAUUGCAGAAUUCAGUGAAUCAUCGAAUCUUUGAACGCACCUUGCGCCCUUUGGUAUUCCGAAGGGCAUGCCUGUUUGAGUGUCAUGGAACCUCACCCCACUUGGGUUUUUGCCUGAGCGGUGGUGUAUUGGGUGUUGCCUUGCUAAAGGCUCGCCUUAAAGACAUAAGCACCUUGGAUGUAAUACGUUUCAUCCUUCUGGGUGGCUGAUAACCCCACAUAUUCAUGAUCUGGCCUCAAAUCAGGUAGGGCUACCCGCUGAACUUAAGCAUAUC